GGAACCAUUUUCAACCAAUCAAUGCCCCCUGACCUCUAUCCACCAUCACUGAUUGGCUAUUGUCACCUGCAGGGCGUUGACAACGGAGAACUUGUGGACACCGGAAUAAUGCUAGUUUUAGUAGCAACUUUGUGAAACUGCAGCGAUAAACCUAGAGUUAAAAUGCUGAAGUGGGCAAAAAUAUAAGACUGCUUUCGGAAUUUAGCACUUGCUGCUAUCAAACUGCGCAACCUUUCUGCAGCUAAUGCGCCAAUUGAAAGAGCUUCUUCAGUAGCUACUCUGCCUGCCGCUCCUGUCAAGUUCGAUGGCUAUCCGUUCAGGACCAACACGGAAUAGAUGGACAUCAGCAACAUGGCGUCCUCUUUGACAGUUAUUGGAGAAAUUUGACUCAACCAUGCACUGAUCACAGGAAGGUGUUUUAGCUCAGGAGAGGACUAAAGUUGUGCUUUCCAGCCUACAGUCUACUCUGCAUCAAGGGAGUAACGGGAGAUAAAACUGCUGACCAACAGGCUGUCCUAACAGGCCUGCUGACGCAAUCCAUCUUCAAGUUGACCUGAAAAUGCUGCUUUAGCUGGGAUGCUUUCCUGGAACCAGUGAGCUGUGUUGAGUGAGAAACAAGUCUCUAGGUGCUGUCAGUGUGAGAGUGUUGUGCACUUUUUCUCAAUGGAAAGAAAGUUGUGGUGUUUUCAGAUAUUUGUGAGAUUUCUCUUUCUUGGAAACCAGCUAAAACACAAUUCCUAAAUAUUUUUUUUCAAUGGCAAAGAAUGCGAUUAAUAUACUUUAUCUAUAAGCUGCAAUAAAUAUGAAAAAGUCAA